GAUGAACGCUGGCGGCGUGCCUAAUACAUGCAAGUCGAGCGAACAGACGAGGAGCUUGCUCCUCUUACGUUAGCGGCGGACGGGUGAGUAACACGUGGAUAACCUACCUAUAAGACUGGGAUAACUUCGGGAAACCGGAGCUAAUACCGGAUAAUAUAUUGAACCGCAUGGUUCAAUAGUGAAAGACGGUUUUGCUGUCACUUAUAGAUGGAUCCGCGCCGCAUUAGCUAGUUGGUAAGGUAACGGCUUACCAAGGCAACGAUGCGUAGCCGACCUGAGAGGGUGAUCGGCAACACUGGAACUGAGACACGGUCCAGACUCCUACGGGAGGCAGCAGUAGGGAAUCUUCCGCAAUGGGCGAAAGCCUGACGGAGCAACGCCGCGUGAGUGAUGAAGGUCUUCGGAUCGUAAAACUCUGUUAUUAGGGAAGAACAAAUGUGUAAGUAACUAUGCACGUCUUGACGGUACCUAAUCAGAAAGCCACGGCUAACUACGUG
rnacentral:rRNA from 1 species